AGAAUCAACGCUGGCGGCGUGCCUAACACAUGCAAGUCGCACGAGAAAGGGACUUCGGUCCUGAGUACAGUGGCGCACGGGUGAGUAACACGUGAAUUAUCUACCUCCGAGUGGGGAAUAACUGAGAGAAAUCUUAGCUAAUACCGCAUAACACUUACGAGUCAAAGCAGCAAUGCGCUUGGAGAGGAGUUCGCGGCAGAUUAGUUAGUUGGCGGGGUAAUGGCCCACCAAGACGAUGAUCUGUAUCCGG
rnacentral:rRNA from 1 species